AAAUUGAAGAGUUUGAUCAUGGCUCAGAUUGAACGCUGGCGGCAGGCCUAACACAUGCAAGUCGAACGGUAACAGGAAACAGCUUGCUGUUUCGCUGACGAGUGGCGGACGGGUGAGUAAUGUCUGGGAAACUGCCUGAUGGAGGGGGAUAACUACUGGAAACGGUAGCUAAUACCGCAUAACGUCGCAAGACCAAAGAGGGG
rnacentral:rRNA from 2 species